rnacentral:tRNA from 1 species
AGUCUUAUAUUCAAUUAUGAUAUAAAAUUGCAAAUUUUAAGGAAUAGAUAAUCUAUUAAGGCUU